GGAGGGUACAGCUCAGUGGUAGAGUACAUGCUUAGCAUGCAUGAGGUCCUGGGUUCAAUCCCCAGUACCUCCA
rnacentral:tRNA from 1 species